UCUGGGGCCUUACCUCUGUACCUGCGGUGGCAUGGUACACACGGCGCAGGGAGUCGCCGUCAACGGACGACAGUAGCUACUGUAGAGACGGAGAAACUGCUGGCCAGGUCGCUACAGGUGGGUGUGGGUGCGCCCCCCUCCCCCUCCCCUCGCACCGCCGGCGAGCACGACGGCCGCAGGCCCGCAGGCAGGAAGUUGGGGAGGACCGCCGGACGGCUGCGAGGUUUGUGAAGCUUCUGCGCGUCUCCGUGGAAGCGAGCAGGGGGUCAAUCCCGCGUUCGUGGCUCCUCUCGUUGUUCCUCGGAGAGUCGGAGUUGGACUCGAGUCUUUUUUCUGCGAGUGAUUGGACUCGUGCCCUUCUUGUUCUGUUCUGGACACAGCAGGGAGCAUCUCAGGCGCUAAGAUCAUCUCCAACAGUGGCGGUAAAAGACGCGGGGAAAUGUGAAUUUAACGCUGGCGGAGCGGUUUGGUGCGUUUCAUUGGACGCGGU
rnacentral:lncRNA from 1 species